rnacentral:misc_RNA from 1 species
GCCAACUCCACUAUCUAAACUUUGCUUUAAAGCAACAGGAAGGCAACGCCUUGACGAAAGAUAAGCCAAAAAUUCUAACAUGGAUAACCUCACCACAAGGUCAAUCCAAAAUCUCCAUCUUCUCCGUCUGCACAGGGACAUCUCAGUUUCUUCACUUAUUUAAGUCACUCGCAAUCUCUCAGAGAAAGCUCUGCUUUUGAUAUGUCCAAACUCCAAUUCAGUGAAGAAGAGAACAUGGGUUGUUCUCUGGCUUCUUCUGCUUGGCAAAUAAUUUUGCUUCAAGUGUUUCUUUGGAAUUUGGGUUUAAGCACAAUAACUACGCCUGCAUCAUCAUCAUCAUCAAGCAAGUUUAUAUCAGCAAUAGGAGACCCAGGAAUGAAGAGUCCAAAUGUGAGAGUGGCAUUUGAAGCUUGGAAUUUCUGCAAU